rnacentral:misc_RNA from 1 species
GAUGAAGAACGCAGCGAAAUGCGAUAAGUAAUGUGAAUUGCUGAAUUCAGUGAAUCAUCGAAUCUUUGAACGCACAUUGCGCCCGCCAGUAUUCUGGCGGGCAUGCCUGUUCGAGCGUCAUUACAACCCUCAGGCCCCCGGGCCUGGCGUUGGGGAUCGGCGGAAGCCCCCUGCGGGCACAACGCCGUCCCCCAAAUACAGUGGCGGUCCCGCCGCAGCUUCCAUUGCGUAGUAGCUAACACCUCGCAACUGGAGAGCGGCGCGGCCACGCCGUAAAACACCCAACUUCUGAAUGUUGACCUCGAAUCAGGUAGGAAUACCCGCUGAACUUAAGCAUAUCAAUAAGCGGAGGA